CACAUGUGUAUAAGUUCGAGAUAAAAAAUGAUUUUGAAUGCUUUUGAUAACCUUGGGACUGUAAAUUUAGUUCGACUCAACCGAAUUUCGGCUCAUCAGGAGUCGAAAUACAUACUUUUGUAUGGAAUAAAGUUCGGGACCACGUGAAAACUUCGACUCAUCCGAAAUUUCGCAUCAAUUGAGUUCGAGACAACGAGAGUUAACUGUACUUCUGAUUUGUUUCCAUGUUUUUUGUUAGUCUCUGUAUUUUGAAUAGACC
rnacentral:lncRNA from 1 species